rnacentral:lncRNA from 1 species
AAUUUCCCCAGGGGGACAGAGGUCUCCACUAUCAACAUCAACUGUUUGGUAGAGGCUCUUCCUUUCCUCCUCUUUGUGGGUCUCCCGUUCUUCUCUGGGGGCGCCUCGCUCUUCCCUCUCGCGAGUGAGGCGGCUUCGGCGCUCGUGGACCUCCACCUCCAGGUCCCGUUGGCGCUCGAGCCUCCUCUCGCGCACCACGGGCUCUUCCCUGUCUCGUGCGCGGCAAAUCCUCGUCUCGUCCUCUGGUUCCUCGCACUCCCGGGAGCGGUCCCUCCGUUCUCCCUCGUCACGAGGCUGCAGUUCCCGGGACACGCGGUGGACCUUCACGUCCGCUUCUGCGGAGACCUCGGUGGUCUCCCGCGUCCUUUCGUACCUCACGGCUUCACGGCGUCUGCUGGCAUCGUCUUCGGGCUCCCGGGUGCGACACUCACGACCAUCGUGGGCCUCCCGUUCUUCUCUGGGGGCGCCUCGCUCUUCCCUCUCGCGAGUGAGGCGGCUUCGGCGCUCGUGGACCUCCACCUCCAGGUCCCGUUGGCGCUCGAGCCUCCUCUCGCGCACCACGGGCUCUUCCCUGUCUCGUGCGCGGCAAAUCCUCGUCUCGUCCUCUGGUUCCUCGCACUCCCGGGAGCGGUCCCUCCGUUCUCCCUCGUCACGAGGCUGCAGUUCCCGGGACACGCGGUGGACCUUCACGUCCGCUUCUGCGGAGACCUCGGUGGUCUCCCGCGUCCUUUCGUACCUCACGGCUUCACGGCGUCUGCUGGCAUCGUCUUCGGGCUCCCGGGUGCGACACUCACGACCAUCGUGGGCCUCCCGUUCUUCUCUGGGGGCGCCUCGCUCUUCCCUCUCGCGAGUGAGGCGGCUUCGGCGCUCGUGGACCUCCACCUCCAGGUCCCGUUGGCGCUCGAGCCUCCUCUCGCGCACCACGGGCUCUUCCCUGUCUCGUGCGCGGCAAAUCCUCGUCUCGUCCUCUGGUUCCUCGCACUCCCGGGAGCGGUCCCUCCGUUCUCCCUCGUCACGAGGCUGCAGUUCCCGGGACACGCGGUGGACCUUCACGUCCGCUUCUGCGGAGACCUCGGUGGUCUCCCGCGUCCUUUCGUACCUCACGGCUUCACGGCGUCUGCUGGCAUCGUCUUCGGGCUCCCGGGUGCGACACUCACGACCAUCGUGGGCCUCCCGUUCUUCUCUGGGGGCGCCUCGCUCUUCCCUCUCGCGAGUGAGGCGGCUUCGGCGCUCGUGGACCUCCACCUCCAGGUCCCGUUGGCGCUCGAGCCUCCUCUCGCGCACCACGGGCUCUUCCCUGUCUCGUGCGCGGCAAAUCCUCGUCUCGUCCUCUGGUUCCUCGCACUCCCGGGAGCGGUCCCUCCGUUCUCCCUCGUCACGAGGCUGCAGUUCCCGGGACACGCGGUGGACCUUCACGUCCGCUUCUGCGGAGACCUCGGUGGUCUCCCGCGUCCUUUCGUACCUCACGGCUUCACGGCGUCUGCUGGCAUCGUCUUCGGGCUCCCGGGUGCGACACUCACGACCAUCGUGGGCCUCCCGUUCUUCUCUGGGGGCGCCUCGCUCUUCCCUCUCGCGAGUGAGGCGGCUUCGGCGCUCGUGGACCUCCACCUCCAGGUCCCGUUGGCGCUCGAGCCUCCUCUCGCGCACCACGGGCUCUUCCCUGUCUCGUGCGCGGCAAAUCCUCGUCUCGUCCUCUGGUUCCUCGCACUCCCGGGAGCGGUCCCUCCGUUCUCCCUCGUCACGAGGCUGCAGUUCCCGGGACACGCGGUGGACCUUCACGUCCGCUUCUGCGGAGACCUCGGUGGUCUCCCGCGUCCUUUCGUACCUCACGGCUUCACGGCGUCUGCUGGCAUCGUCUUCGGGCUCCCGGGUGCGACACUCACGACCAUCGUGGGCCUCCCGUUCUUCUCUGGGGGCGCCUCGCUCUUCCCUCUCGCGAGUGAGGCGGCUUCGGCGCUCGUGGACCUCCACCUCCAGGUCCCGUUGGCGCUCGAGCCUCCUCUCGCGCACCACGGGCUCUUCCCUGUCUCGUGCGCGGCAAAUCCUCGUCUCGUCCUCUGGUUCCUCGCACUCCCGGGAGCGGUCCCUCCGUUCUCCCUCGUCACGAGGCUGCAGUUCCCGGGACACGCGGUGGACCUUCACGUCCGCUUCUGCGGAGACCUCGGUGGUCUCCCGCGUCCUUUCGUACCUCACGGCUUCACGGCGUCUGCUGGCAUCGUCUUCGGGCUCCCGGGUGCGACACUCACGACCAUCGUGGGCCUCCCGUUCUUCUCUGGGGGCGCCUCGCUCUUCCCUCUCGCGAGUGAGGCGGCUUCGGCGCUCGUGGACCUCCACCUCCAGGUCCCGUUGGCGCUCGAGCCUCCUCUCGCGCACCACGGGCUCUUCCCUGUCUCGUGCGCGGCAAAUCCUCGUCUCGUCCUCUGGUUCCUCGCACUCCCGGGAGCGGUCCCUCCGUUCUCCCUCGUCACGAGGCUGCAGUUCCCGGGACACGCGGUGGACCUUCACGUCCGCUUCUGCGGAGACCUCGGUGGUCUCCCGCGUCCUUUCGUACCUCACGGCUUCACGGCGUCUGCUGGCAUCGUCUUCGGGCUCCCGGGUGCGACACUCACGACCAUCGUGGGCCUCCCGUUCUUCUCUGGGGGCGCCUCGCUCUUCCCUCUCGCGAGUGAGGCGGCUUCGGCGCUCGUGGACCUCCACCUCCAGGUCCCGUUGGCGCUCGAGCCUCCUCUCGCGCACCACGGGCUCUUCCCUGUCUCGUGCGCGGCAAAUCCUCGUCUCGUCCUCUGGUUCCUCGCACUCCCGGGAGCGGUCCCUCCGUUCUCCCUCGUCACGAGGCUGCAGUUCCCGGGACACGCGGUGGACCUUCACGUCCGCUUCUGCGGAGACCUCGGUGGUCUCCCGCGUCCUUUCGUACCUCACGGCUUCACGGCGUCUGCUGGCAUCGUCUUCGGGCUCCCGGGUGCGACACUCACGACCAUCGUGGGCCUCCCGUUCUUCUCUGGGGGCGCCUCGCUCUUCCCUCUCGCGAGUGAGGCGGCUUCGGCGCUCGUGGACCUCCACCUCCAGGUCCCGUUGGCGCUCGAGCCUCCUCUCGCGCACCACGGGCUCUUCCCUGUCUCGUGCGCGGCAAAUCCUCGUCUCGUCCUCUGGUUCCUCGCACUCCCGGGAGCGGUCCCUCCGUUCUCCCUCGUCACGAGGCUGCAGUUCCCGGGACACGCGGUGGACCUUCACGUCCGCUUCUGCGGAGACCUCGGUGGUCUCCCGCGUCCUUUCGUACCUCACGGCUUCACGGCGUCUGCUGGCAUCGUCUUCGGGCUCCCGGGUGCGACACUCACGACCAUCGUGGGCCUCCCGUUCUUCUCUGGGGGCGCCUCGCUCUUCCCUCUCGCGAGUGAGGCGGCUUCGGCGCUCGUGGACCUCCACCUCCAGGUCCCGUUGGCGCUCGAGCCUCCUCUCGCGCACCACGGGCUCUUCCCUGUCUCGUGCGCGGCAAAUCCUCGUCUCGUCCUCUGGUUCCUCGCACUCCCGGGAGCGGUCCCUCCGUUCUCCCUCGUCACGAGGCUGCAGUUCCCGGGACACGCGGUGGACCUUCACGUCCGCUUCUGCGGAGACCUCGGUGGUCUCCCGCGUCCUUUCGUACCUCACGGCUUCACGGUUUCUAGUUCCAUCUCUUUCAUAUUCUUGUGGCAGACUACGUUCUGUUUCAUAUUCUUCUCUUUGGUGUCUCCUUGGCUGAUCCUUUCUCUUUGCAUCAUCUUGUUCUUCACACUUGUGCACCUGAUAGCUGCGUCUCUGAGUAUGUCUGUAUUCAUUCUCAUCUUCUUGUUGCUUUUCUUCUUCAUAGAUAGUUUCUUUUUGCCCACAUUUCUCAAAGUAUCUUUUGUCCAGUUCUAG